UUUAUCAGUGACCCUUUCAGAUGAUAGUGCCGAUGUAAACUUCGAUGAUGACUUCACAGAUAUUAAUCUUCCUGACGAGUCUUUUUCUUCCCAGCAUGCAAAUUCUUCUGUUUCUUCAACAACUUGCAAAGUUCAAAUUGACUUCCUCGGCUACGUGUAAAUGAGAGACCACUUUUGGCUGGUAUUAAUGGCACACAGG